CCUGGGGAGAGUUCCCCCUCGCUGAGGUCCCCUGAGUCCGUGUCCAUUGUGGGGGUCUGGCUGGUCCCUGCAGGUCACUGCCCGGGCUGUCCGCCCCUAUCCGCCUCGCUCCCAGCUGAGCUCCGCCGCCUCUGGCUCGGGGUAAGCUGUGCGGCUCAGCAUCUCCAGCUCCCUAACAGUGCGGACACAGGGGCGACCCGGCAGCCAAUCAGCA